rnacentral:lncRNA from 1 species
UGUCAGGUCAUGGGUGCUGUGCCUCAGUAUCACCAGGGUGCUGUCAGGACCAGGGACAGAUCAGGAGGUGAAGGAAAUGUUUGCUUCAUGAGAAAAUGAGAGGGGGCUGCAAACUCCAAGACCCAGGAAUGCCUCUCCAUGGCUUCACACAUAUGUCCUACGGGUGGAGAUGGGGCUUGCUGAAGCAGGUUACUCCAAAGCACCUGCCACCUCAAGGGGUCAUGGUCUCCACACAAGACAUGAGCUCCAGAGAGCAUGUGGUCAGUAGUCCCUCCAGCCAUGCAGAUCCUGCCACUGAUCAAAGGACAGCCCCGUGGUGAGAGCUGUGGCCUGAGGCAGACUGAGCUAUGAAACCGUGACAAGUGCAUGGAGCAGCUAUUUGAGCACCAGGAAAGGAAACGAUACGCAGCAGUUUGGGAUGACCCCAGCAGAUGAAAUACAACAGAGUCAGUGUGAGACUCCUGGAUUUCCUCGGUGUCCCCUGGCUGGGAUCCAGACAGGCCAAACCUGAAGGGGCACAAAUCUGAAAACGGAAAGAAGUCCAGGAAAUCAAGAGCCAUGAUUUGGCAGCUUCCCCAGGAGAGAGUCCGGAAAGACCAGGGACAAUGAAAGUGGAGGAGCAGCCAGGAAAGGAGAAGCCACUGUGUCUGCAGGACAGGGGCUCCCAGAGCAAAGGGGAGAUAAAGGGGACACCUGUGACCUCAGGGAGGACACUGCACAUGGCAGGGACACCAUUUUAGCACAACUGGGUGUGUGAGGAGAGGGCACUGUGAGAAGUCAAGUGCCUGGAGCUGUGGCAGAGAAAGAGGCAGCAUCUGCAAGAGCUGAAGACCCUUUCAUUCCAGGUGUGAGAUCAUGGUCACUGGCUCCUGCUGCAUGUCAGCGUCUCCCUGUCACCCAGGCCCGCCCCAUCGCCAGGUGGCUUUGCCAGGUAACUCUCUGCUUCCCCCUGGUGGCCGCUCCACACUGUGGGCUGGGGGCUCAGGGACUUCCUGGGUCUAGGUGUGGAUUCAGAACCUGCUGUUCAGGUCCCUGAUGCCCUGAUCCGAGGACUGCUGGUCCCAGGGGAGGAACACCUCUUCUCUGUGUGGCCCCUGCCUGACUCAAGAUCAGGUACAAGGGGCUCAGCUUACCCAAUAAAAUACAAAAGUA